rnacentral:rRNA from 1 species
CUCACCAGGUCAGGACACGGUAAGGAUUGACGGACUGAAGGCUCUUUCUCGAUUCCGUGGAAAGUGGUGCAUGGCCGUUUUUGGUUGGUGGAUCGAUCCGUCUGGUUAAUUCCGUUAACGAACGAGACCUCGGCACUCCGAAUAGCGCGGCGGACGUCGCGGCCUCCGGGCCGUCUUCCGCACGAGCUUCUUAGAGGGACCGUCCCCCGCCGGGGAAGGAGGUGCGAGGCAACGACAGGUCUGUGAUGCCCUUAGAUGUUCUGGGCCGCACGCGCAUUACACUGACGCGUCCAACGGGUGACUCCCGACCCGAAGGGGCCGGGGAAUCCGCAAGGCGCGUCGUGAUGGGGAUUGAACGUUGCAAUUGUUGUUCACGAACGAGGAAUUCCUAGUAGGCGCGGGUCAUCAACCCCGCGCCGAUUACGUCCCCUGCCCUUUUGUACACACCGCCCGC